rnacentral:rRNA from 1 species
GGGAUCCCGGCCCUUCCCGGGGCUCGGGCGCACCACCGGCCCGCCUCCGCCCGUUCCCACGGGGAGGUGGAGCUCGAGCGCGUGCGAUAGUACCCGAAAGAUGGUGAACUAUGCCUGGGCAGGGC